rnacentral:lncRNA from 1 species
GUUAUAACAACACCACCACCCGAACCGGGCUUUGGACCCAAAGUGAGACCCAAAGGCUUGUCAACUUCCACUUCGAUCUGCUUCGAAGCCCCUGCGGUUUUUCUUGCAUUGAUUUCGAGUCCUCUGUUUCGUUUCGAAAUCGCUGACGUUUUGUCAGUGGUUUUAUUGAACGAAACAGAGAGACUUCUUUUGGCAUCUUGAAUUGACACACCUUGAAAUAUGGUAACCUGAGGAGGGGGUGAUGAUAAUGGGUAUGAGUUUCGGGUUGAGAAGGCGGUGGCCGGAGCUGCACCUGCGGUGGUGGUGGACAUGUUGAUGUGGGUGGCACAAGACAGAUUGGUG